AAUUCUCAACUUCAAUAGUUUGUAAUGAACUUGUUGAAGCUUGGAUGUGGAGGUUUGCUGGCGUCUUAGAUGUUCGGCUCCUCUUAAAUGCAUUAGUGGAUCCCGUUUGUUGGGCUACACUUUGGUGUGAUAAUUAUCUACACUUUGGUUGGUUCAAUAGGCUCUAUGGGCAUUCUUCAGAAAUACUUUGUUUCUGGUUUGGGUUCUGCGCAUUAGUGUGCUUUACCUGGUUCAUUAGAGUAGGGUUUGUCUGCUUUCAAAUCGUCUGUGUAUGCGGACAAUCUUUGACUAU
rnacentral:misc_RNA from 1 species